CUCUGCAGACUCUGUAGCGCCUCCUGCUGUCCAAACACUGAGUGUGAGCUCUGACAGCUGCUAUCUGCUGUGUGCUGUGGACAAAGCUGCAGAGAUCACACUGUGGUGGUACAAAGAUGAGGAGGUGGUGAACCAGAGCAGCUCUGCUGGAUCUCUGCCUCUCACUGUGACCAAGCAGGACCUCAGCUCCUCUUACAGAUGUGUGGCUGGAAACCCUGCAGAAGAAAGGACUCUUCUAGUGGAUCUUCAGACGUUCUGUGGCAAGAACUUCACUGCAGUGCAGAACAACACAGAAUCAAGACAUCAUUGGAUCAUAAUUGGAGUCUUUGCUGGAUGUGCUGCACUUGCAAUCAUUACAGUCUCUGCAGCUUUAAUCAGUUGGCAGUGCUUGAAGAGCAUCAAGUGGACAACCACCAAAAGACAAAGCAGGUAAACGACACACCUGGACGUCCACGUGAUGAAGAAGGAAACUCCUCAGAGCAGGACACCUUCUUCCAUCUGUCCAUGGUCCAGCUGUGAUGCUGUAGCAGCUUCCAGUGGUGGACAGGAGUCAGCAUGGACUCAAUCUGAGAUGUUCUGAGAUGUUCUGAUCAGCAGCUUGGAGGUUUUCAGCAGCUCUUCUGUGGGAUCAGACCUCCUGCAUGAGGGAUCCUCUGGUGUCCACGUCUCUGGUUCUCCGGUUCUCCUUCUCUGGACACUUUUAAUAACCGCUGUAGAACUCUUGCUGUUCUGGAGAUGUUCUGAUCCAGUUUGUUAAAGUCUCUCAGAUCUUCCAAUGAACCAACUUCCAGAACUGAGCCUUUAUGAGGAGAUGAUCAUUGAGCUGGUUUAAUGUUAAUGUUUUUAAACUCAGGGCAGAUUCCAUUUGUUUUAGAUUCUUCAUCUGUUUCGUUUUUCAUUUUUAUUAAAAGGUAAUUCAGUAAAAUUAUCAGUAUUCUCUCAUAUUUUUUGUAUAUCAGAAUCCUAGAGGAUCAUUAGAAGUUGGUGAGGAGGUUGAAGAAUCCAACAUGACAACAAUAAAAGAACUAGAGAAGCUGAAACUUCUCCAACAUUUCUGGGUGAGUUCAUCUCAUUUUCACAUCAGGAGGAGUUGGGCGUCGUCACAGCUGCAAACCAAGAAUUACGUCAGUAAUGUUUCAGACUGCUGUAAAUCUGGGUGUUUCUCGUAUAAAAUGUGGGUUAAAACUAAACGUCAUCCUGAAACCUUCAGUUUGAUUCCAUCUGAUUCAGAAGCUGCUCGUCUUUUCAACUUUAGGGACCAGGAAUGCAAACAAUCAUCUUUUCUACAAUCUGGUGAAUCUUUAAGCACCACUUUGUUCCUUUUCUGCUUCAAGUUAUGAUGGAAAAGCUUCUUAUUUAUGCAGCUUAUCUCUGCAGAAUUCACAUAAUUUAAACACAAGUUCUCAUCUUUAUUCUGGUUUUUCACUGUGGAGGACAAAUGCAUUCAAUAUUUGUACCAAAAUCAGUAAAGUUUGGACGAUAUAUGGAGAAUAACAAGUGAAAAGUACACUUGUUUUAACCUUUAUGGUUGCUCAGUAGUCUGAUGUGCACAUUUAAAAUAAAUCUGUCUGAAAUAAA